rnacentral:rRNA from 1 species
AGUGAACGCUGGCGGUAGGCCUAACACAUGCAAGUCGAACGGCAGCACAGUAAGAGCUUGCUCUUACGGGUGGCGAGUGGCCGACGGGUGAGGAAUACAUCGGAAUCUACUUUUUCGUGGGGGGUAACGUAGGGAAACUUACGCUAAUACCGCAUACGACCUACGGGUGAAAGCAGGGGAUCUUCGGACCUUGCGCGAUUGAAUGAGCCGAUGUCGGAUUAGCUAGUUGGCGGGGUAAAGGCCCACCAAGGCGACGAUCCGUAGCUGGUCUGAGAGGGUGAUCAGCCACACUGGAACUGAGACACGGUCCAGACUCCUACGGGAGGCAGCAGUGGGGAAUAUUGGACAAUGGGCGCAAGCCUGAUCCAGCCAUACCGCGUGGGUGAAGAAGGCCUUCGGGUUGUAAAGCCCUUUUGUUGGGAAAGAAAAGCAGCAGGUUAAUACCCCGCUGUUCUGACGGUACCCAAAGAAUAAGCACCGGCUAACUUCGUG